AGGAACCCAUAGUAGAAUACUCACUUGAGAGCCCUAGUCAGUAGCACCACAGUAGCAGGGGUUCCUCCGUCAUCAGUCAGUCCAAGUCUCGUCAUCAGCAUCAUGAAAGCCUUUAACUUCUUGAUAAUCUUGAUCGUGGCCUGCCUGAUGGCCACCACCCUGGCCACUCCUAACCCUGAUCCCAGCCGCCAUGGACGUAGCCAUGGACAUGGUGGUGGUGGACGUAGCCAUGGUGGUGGUGGACGUAGCCAUGGUGGUGGUGGACGUAGCCAUGGUGGUGGUGGAGGUGGACAUGGCCGUAAGGGAUAUGGCCGCUAAGGAGUUGUUUAAACGUGAAGUAGGAAGAGAUAUUGAAGAGGUUUCCCGUCUUCUCAUCUGUCUUCCUCUGUCUAGAAAUAAUGAAGGAACAGUGUCUUCCGUCCUGUCUACACCAGUCUGGAAAGGUCUCUUGUCUUCCCAGUUGUCUACGCACCCUUUAAACGAUAAACUCACCUAAAAUACUUUAAUUAUCUCUUAAUGUAAACAAACUUCCAUAAAAAUUAAAAAAAACUAAUUAAAUAACUUCAUUAAUCUAGAAAUUAUAUAAAAGUAAUAGUUUUUUGGCUGAUGAAAAGUAUAAAUAGAAAUUAUAUUAUUAUUAUUAUUUUCAAAUUAUUAUUUUUUUUAAUUAUUAUAUUUUUGUGAGAAUAUAAGGUCAUACAAGGUUUGUUUACUGUUUACUUCGCUAUUGUUUACUUGUUUAUUUGUUUACUUAUUCGUGAAGAAGAGGAAGAAGACUAGGAGGUUCUUCAAUAAAGUUGAGAGUUUGA